rnacentral:rRNA from 1 species
UACGGAGGAUCCGAGCGUUAUCCGGAUUUACUGGGUUUAAAGGGUGCGUAGGCGGACGCCUAAGUCAGCGGUGAAAUACGGGGGCUCAACCUUCGAACUGCCGUUGAUACUGGGCGUCUUGGAUUCGGUCGAGGCGGGCGGAAUGCGUGGUGUAGCGGUGAAAUGCUUAGAUAUCACGCAGAACGCCGAUUGCGAAGGCAGCUCGCCGGGCCGAUAUCGACGCUGAGGCACGAAAGCGUGGGGAUCGAACAGG